AGCGGACGACGAGCAGACGUUCCUCAACUUCCAGUGCUACCCCGACCAGGCCACCCUGGACUUCAUAGGCAUCGUCGUCAAACAUUUGGAGAUCAGCCUCGAAUACUUUCUGGAGGGGGUCGGUAUGCAUUUUGUCGAUUUCACUAUCGAGAAAGGCUACGGCGAGAUGCUGCACACUCUAGGAAGAACCUUCCACGCAUUUCUGGACAACCUCGACUAUCUUCACUGCUACCUGAUGACCACGGCCUUCCCGGGGAUCGUGAUGCCGUCGUUUGCCUGCACCGA